rnacentral:rRNA from 1 species
AUGUGGGUCCGCAUUGAGACACGUCAGAUGGGCUUGUCUGAGGGAUCCCCUUGUCUGAACCUCAAGCUCGAGCCACUACAGCACCACGUCGCUCUGCCCCCUCCGUCAUUGUCGUGCUGCCUCCGCCACCGUCGUGCCCUCCAGCCUCUAACCACAUUUCGCCUUUGCCGUUAUCAUGCCCUCUGCCAGAUCUACCCCCAUACCCCACUCGGGAUUAAGCAGCGAUGUCGGGGGAGCAGGCUCUCAAGCCCAUCGUCCGUGGAGAGGAUUGGGUCGAAUCGGCGGCGGAUAUUUCAUGGAUUACACCUGGAUAAGAAAAGUACCCACACCAACACACUUUUCCACCUGGAGGGGGAGGAGGGGAGGCUAAAACAAAGCUAG